rnacentral:sRNA from 1 species
AGCAUACAUCCAUGUAGAAAAGGUGCAGUUAAACAUGGCCCUUUAAAGAAAUGCUGUCUUCAAAGAAAAAGUAGCAUUUGGCAAUUUCAAAUCUUGUGAGAAAGAAUGUGCAUUCCAAAGAAAGACCGGGUUCAUGUUUUGAGCUAACUGCUGGUUUGUUACUUUAGAGGGAAUACUUCCUGAAAUUAUAUAAAAUCUGGCAUUAAAACUUAAGAAUGACUCUGAUUUUUUUAAAAAAAAAAUCAGCCUACUGAUAAUCUUCCAAAAAUAAUCUCCCAAGUAAAUAACUGAUCUCAGGUAACCCAUUCAUGAGCCUGAGGCUGUGAGAAAUGCUCGCUGUGCAAAGGGGAACUCUCACCAGAUUUUCUGAAGCUGUUCUAGAAAUACACUUUUCGGAUUGAUUCAGCAUUACCAGCUUAUCCAACAAAGGUAUUAACAUAUACAUUAACAACGUCGAAAGUAGCCUACUUUAAGAGAAAAUAUGCAGAAGAAGAAGAUUUACAUCAAGAUUACCAUGGGUAUUUUCCAAAACACCUGAUAUUACCUGAGGACAG